rnacentral:rRNA from 1 species
CCUACGGGCGGCAGCAGUGAGGAAUAUUGGUCAAUGGGCGCGAGCCUGAACCAGCCAAGUCGCGUGAGGGAAGACGGUCCUAUGGAUUGUAAACCUCUUUUGUCGGGGAGCAAAAGACGCCACGCGUGGCGUUCCGAGAGUACCCGAAGAAAAAGCAUCGGCUAACUCCGUGCCAGCAGCCGCGGUAAUACGGAGGAUGCGAGCGUUAUCCGGAUUUAUUGGGUUUAAAGGGUGCGCAGGCGGAAGGUCAAGUCAGCGGUAAAAGUGAGAGGCUCAACCUCUUCGAGCCGUUGAAACUGGUUUUCUUGAGUGAGUGAGAAGUAUGCGGAAUGCGUGGUGUAGCGGUGAAAUGCAUAGAUAUCACGCAGAACUCCGAUUGCGAAGGCAGCAUACCGGCGCUCAACUGACGCUCAUGCACGAAAGUGUGGGUAUCGAACAGGAUUAGAUACCCCAGUAGUC